AAUAUUCUGGGAGAUGGUGGACCGAAGCAACCGAGUGAGGCUCUGACGAACCCGAAGUUCAAAAUAGAGGUUCUGGAGCUGCAGGACCAUAAUCUGGGAGAUUGUGGAGUGAAGCAACUGUGUGAGGAUCUGAUGAACCUGGAGUGUAAAAUACCGAAUCUAUGGCUGAGGGACAUCGAUCUGACAACUGAUAGCACCGAGGACCUGUCCUCCGAUCUCAAAAUAAACCACAAACUGACGGAGCUGAACUUGAGUCAUAAUAAU